CCUGAUCCAGCAACGCCGCGUGGAGGAAGAAGGCCUUUGGUUGUAAACUCCUUUUGUGCGGGAUGAGACAAGGACAGUACCGCACGAAUAAGUCACGGCUAACUAGGUGCCAGCAGCCGCGGUAAUACCUAGGUGGCGAGCGUUAUCCGGAUUUACUGGGCGUAAAGGGCUCGAAGGCGGCAGUGCAAGUCCGGCGUGAAAUCUCUUGGCUUAACCAGGAGGGGUCGUCGGAAACUGCAUUGCUAGAGGCAGUGAGAGGGGUGCGGAAUUCUCGGUGGAGUGGUGAAAUGCGUAGAUAUCGGGAGGAACACCAGUGGCGAAGGCGGCGCCCUGGCACUGACCUGACGCUCAUGAGCGAAAGCGUGGGGAGCGAAUGGGAUUAGAUACCC
rnacentral:rRNA from 1 species